rnacentral:lncRNA from 1 species
GGAAGGCUCGGCUGCGGUAGAUGACCUGUGCGGUAGACGGCGUCGCGCCCCCGGGAGGUUCGGCCCCCAGUGUUUGUCGUCCUAGCGCCUUGAAGAGACCCACAGGCCCGCGACUGGCCACCGGCCCCGUCUGCUCCGGAUUGCUGAGGCGGACAAUCUCUUUGACCCUGCGCCCCCUCGGGUCCGGCGCUUGCCAGGUGGAAGUGCCGUGCAAAGCUCGCUGCCGCCCACCGACAGAAGAAGACCCUUCGUGUCCCGUGACGAGCGCAGGUGCGAGGCAGUCGCGGCGGAAGUGUGGCCCGGGAUGCGCACCACGCCCUCGGACGGCCCAGGACGGUGGGAUCUCCGAGCAAAGCUUGCCGUCGCCCAAGAAGAGAAGACCUUCCUGUCGUUUGUGGAGCGGAGACGCGAGGGAAUCCCGCAAGAAGCGUGGCUUCGGGUGCGCCCCGUGCCCGUGGCUCGCUGAGGCUGGUGGGAUCUCCGAGCAAAGCUUGCCGUCGCCCAAGAAGAGAAGACCUUCCUGUCGUUUGUGGAGCGGAGACGCGAGGGAAUCCCGCAAGAAGCGUGGCUUCGGGUGCGCCCCGUGCCCGUGGGUCGCUGAGGCUGGUGGAAGAGCCGUGCAAAGCUCGCUGCCGCCCACCGACAGAAGAAGACCCUUCGUGUCCCGUGACGAGCGCAGGUGCGAGGCAGUCGCGGCGGAAGUGUGGCCCGGGAUGCGCACCACGCCCUCGGACGGCCCAGGACGUUCAACAUAG